AAAUAAAAAAUAGUUAUAGGUUAAGAUGUCAUUAAGUGCUUUUAUAGGAACGUUUGUUAUUCAUAGUAGUGUUUGUAAGACAUGUAUUAAACGUAUCAACAUACUUUAAGAAAUAUUUUUAAUUGUUAUACUAAAAGUGUACUACACUGUAACGUUCCCAAUCGUCACAAAUUGAAAAUGAAAACAUCGAGUUAGAAAAUAAGGCAUUUUUACAUUUACUAACAAAAUACGAAGAAAAAAAAAAAAUUCCGAAUAUAUUAGAAUUUGUUCAUAAUGUAUGUACCAAUUUAUAUGAAAAAGAAGAAAAACUAAAUUAUAAUGUUUUACAUAAAGAUUUUAUAAAUAUAUUAACAAAAUUAAUAAAUGAAAAUAUAUUAAAUUAUAAGAACACUCUUAAUAAUAUUUUAAUAAAUAAAGAUGAAUAUAUAGAAGUGAAUGAAAAACAAAAAGAAAAAGUAACUAAAAAUGAAACAGUUGAUUAUCAUGAAAAUAAUAAAAAUAAUAUAAUUUAUAAUGUUAAUAUAGAAGACCUAAUAAAAAUAAAUAAAAGUAACGACAUUAGUCAAUUGGAUGACCAAACAAAAAAAGUUAAUAGUACUGAUAAUGAUAAAUCAGAAAGUUAUGUAAUAAGUGAAGAGAAGGAGGUAAAAAAUGUUGAAGUAAAAGUGGAAGAAGAGGAAGAAGAGAGAAACGAAAAGGAUUUGGACAAUUUAAUGUCAGAAAAUAAUAUUUGUUUGUAUUGGAGUAAUGAAAAACCAAUAAAACAUUUUUAUAGAAUCCAAAGUUAUGAACCACAUGAAAUUAUUACAAAAACUUGCUUGAAUCCUAUGGAAAAAAAACAAUUAGUACUAAACGAAAUAGAGAAACUUAAAAACAAUAUAAAAAAUGUGACAGUAUAUUUUGAGAAUAUAAAGGUGUUAAUAAAUUCAGUAAUAUGUCAGAGUAAAAUAUAUUUGUUUGAGUUGGAUGAAGAAAUUAAGAAUUAUAAAAUUAUGAGAGAUAACAUCAAAAGUGAUAAUUAUUUAUUAAAAAAAAAUGAGUAUAUAAAUGAUUUUUAUAAUAAAAUAAUAAAAGAACAAAAUAUAAAAUUAGGUGAAACAAAAAAAACAAAUAAAACUUUAAUAAAUUUAUAUAAAAAAAAAUUCGCUAAUGUUAAAUAUAUAAAAGAAAUUAAUAAAAAUAUUAAUAACGUGGAUUUUCUUUAUUUAAAUGUCCUUAUUCAUAAUAAAAAAAUAAAUUAUGACACAUUGAUGAAAGAGCAUGAACGCAAUUACGCCUAUCUAAGAAAAAUUUUAAGCGAAUUAAGUGUAACUCAAAAUGAAAUUAGUGAAAGUGAAAAAAAAGAAAAAGAACUUGUAGAAAACAUUGAAAAAAAUAAUAAUAUUUUGAACGAUAUAGAUGCAUCAAUCAUAGACAUUACGAACAGAAUUGAUAGUACAAAUCAAAUAGCAAAUAAGUAAAUAUUAUAAUAUUAUAAAAUUAUUUUAUGAAAAAAAAAAAAAAAAAAAAAAAAAAUGAUUACGUAAAAAUAGUAAUUGCUAUUUGUACGGAUGGAUGUGUACAUUGUACAUUGUAGUGUGUUGUCUAUUUUUGUUUUUAUCUACUUUGUUUGUUUGUUUGUUUGUUUGUUUGUUUGUUUGUUUGUUUGUUUGUUUGUUUGUUUGUUUGUUUGUUUGUUUGUUUGUUUGUUUGUU
ensembl:lncRNA